GCCGGAGUGCCAGAGCGGUCAAAUGGACCUGAUUUGUAAUCAGGCGCGAAAGCUACGCAGGUUCGAAUCCUGUCUCCGGCCCA
rnacentral:tRNA from 1 species